GGAAGAAAUAAUCAACCCAGUUUAUUCUGGACCCUAUCAGUUCCUGACCACAUUCCGUAAAUGCAGGCGUUCGGAAGAAAACAAACUGGUACACAGGUAACAGAAACCCAGCGAUGUACUGAUGGAGAGAUAGGGAAACGGUGACUAAUGAAUUCAGUUCUCUUAUCCCAGGUAAAUGAGGAAGGUGAUGGCCCAGCACUCAUUGCUCAGCCAGCUUUGGAGCUGUUGUUCAGAAGUGUUCAACUGCCAACUUCUUCUCACUGGAGCCUCCGCUCUGGGCAGCCCAAUGAGACAAGACCUACGUGGUCUAUUCCUGACAGUGCUCAUCUAAAUGACAACAAAGUCCAGUCUCGCAGCAAUGGGGAAACAUAUUCAAGAGAGAACAGGCAACCUACAAGCUGAGAUCUGUAAUCAAGACUCUCUACUGGCUACAGGGCCAGUAACAGGCCAAGAACUGUUUAUCUGCAGAAGAGAUCAGAGUUUUGCUCCAAAAUCCCAAGGUCCUGUGCGAUAACUCACCUACAAGGACUUCCCAAAGGCUCCAAAGAGCAUCUCUGUCCACCACUGGCACUUAAGCCCCAUUGGAUCUGCUGGACCAUGUGGUCCUGGUGAUAGAGCAGAGGCCACAGCCGCCUGGAUCUGCUGCAGAGCUUUCUCUUGUUCUGUGCCUCACUCAAAACCAGCAGCUCUUUGCAUCUAUCAACAAAUAGUCUGGAGUAACACAUCCAAAUGAGGAAUUUGAUGCUUCCAAAACCAAAAGGCUCACUAGGCAUUGUGCCUUGUAGUGGGGGUAGGGGUGGGGUGUGACAUGUGACUAAAUAUAUGUGUACAUGCAUGUGUGCAUGCACUUCCAAUCCUGCCUUUGAGAAAUAGGAUCAUCCCUUUCUUUACGAAGAGGAAAAUGGAUUUGAAGGUUAAUGUAAUUUGCUCUGAGUCACUUACAUAGCAAAGAGCAGAAAGAAAGUUCGAACAUAAGAUACAUUUGGUCUAUUUGAAAGAUUGUGUUCUUUCAGUUACAUCCUACUUUUUUUUCCUUGUACCCUCUCCCCUCUCUGGCUCUAUGGAAAAACUAGGCACUGUCGAGUAGCAAAUACAACAAUGAUUAAGUGCAUUCGUUCACUUGUUUAACAUAUUUUGUUUAUAAUUUACCACUUGUUAGGCCUACACUUAGCAUUGCGAAUAUAAAUGUUAAAAGAUAUCAUCAUUUAUAUCCUCAAGGAGCUGAAUCUCGUGCAGAGACAAAUAUUCAGACUAGAAUUAUGUAUUAGUUAUAUGGAUUGCCCUAAAAAGAAAUGUGGUCCCAGAUUCAGUGGUGGGCAAAGGGAGAAAGAAGGGGGUGUGGGUGUGUGUGCGUCUUGAUUGGAGUAAGGGAGAUCUAUAUUAAGAGACAAAAAAAUGUGUAAAAGUUGCUGGCGUUAUAAGAAUUAUAAGUACCUUGGUAUUGCUAGAAUGUAUGUUUAUAGAGGAAAGAGAUAGAACAAACUAGACAGGCAGUGGCGCCAUCAAACGGAGCUAUCUGUAUGCAAUAUGGAUUGGAAGGCUUGAAAUAUUUUGAGCACAGGCAUGGGGAGAAAAUGAUAGAAUCUGGACACUAAAAAUAAUACUCUUUGGUCAAUGUGGAGACUGAUUUUGAAGUCAUGUGAUCUACUGCAGGUGAGCUGUGCCCCUUACGACAAUUAAAAAGACAUAACUGCAAAAUUCUUUGCCACUCUCCUAAUCAAGAGAUUGAGUCUUUUAAAUACAGAGAACACACUGGAGGUUGACGGAAGGGAGGAUAGUAGGGGGCUGGGUGAAAUAGAUAAAAGGGAUUAAGAGUACAUUUAAUCUUGAUGAGCCCUGACAAAUAUAUAGAAUUGUUGAAUCAUUAUACUGUACACCUGAAACUAAUAUAAUACUGUAUGUUUAUCAUAGAUGAGAGAUAGAUAGAUAAUAGAUAGAUAGAUGAUAGAUAGAUGAUAAAAGAAGUUGAGUCUAUUUAUCAUCCCUUGAACCUGAAAAGAGAAGGGGAGAUAAAAAGUUGGUAGGUGAAUGUAAUCAGCAAGUAAAGAUUACUGUAAGCCUUGUCUAGGGCAAUAGCCUUAAAAAUGGAAAGUAGAUGUUAAAUAUGAGAAAUACUUAAGACAUAAAACUCUAAAGAAGCAUACAAUUUGGUGGUGACAGACUUGUAGAUAAGAAUCUAUAAUGAAAAGCAGAAUGUAAUAGAGUUUAAUACAGUAACAGCCACUAUGCCCCAAAGCACGUAGCAGACACCGUUGGUCCAUUACUCCAGUCCUCCGGGUGCUCACCUUUCCAGACUUGCAAAUGGUGUCCACCCUGCCUGAGGACUUUGGCAUAGCUCUUCUGCUGGAAACAUCCAAGAGUCAGUGCCCCUAUGAGCAGCCUUGAGCCAAUGAUAUGUUAGAGUUUCAGGAUACGUAAAUACCUUACCAGGCUCAUGCCUUGGGUGUGAUAAUCCUGGGGACUUUUCUAGUUGAUCUCCCUAAAUUCCUAGAGGAACUGAGGCCCAGUAGCCCACAGUGGUGACCAAAUCAUUGACGUACCCUAUUCUGCCUUCCUCAGCCCUGAUGAGUGACUUCUGCGGUCUCUUUACGAUAAACCAUGCUCACACAGGUCCUGGCCUUAAAAUGAUCUUUCGAAAAUUUCUAUAAGCCAAUAACAGGUAAAGAGAUUCAAUUUGUAAUUUUGAGAUUUCCCACAAACAAAAGUUCAAGUGCAGAUGACUUCAUUGGUAAAUUCUGCUAAACAUUUCAAGAAGAAUUAAUAAAUUCUUUUUUUUAUAAAUUCUUCCA
rnacentral:lncRNA from 12 species